CCGGGACGUGGGUGUUGUACCUGCACCGCAGCUUUAAUCUCCAGGUCGAACUUGACGAUCUCCUGGUUGCAAACUCGGACCGGCACGUCACCGGCAGCAGCCAUGUUGGGAUCGACUACUACGGCGAGCGAAUGGAGUUAAUCACAAACAACAAGUUAUCUGUAGAAGAGAUAAGGUGACAGCAUAAAUCUACCAGACUGCAACCCCCUAGGAAAGAAGAAUAUCUCUACCUACAUGAAGGAAGUUCUUCAAAAGAUUCCCAGACAUUUCCAGAAGCAAGAUCUGGUAGUUACUGGGCAGUGCUGGGCAGACCAGAGCCAUUUUCAUGAGAUGAAACUGAAAUGAAUGCCCAUAUUUGAUAGUCGGCAUGCCCUGUGAUGUUGGGAGGUAGAGAAAACGAACAAUGAGGAUCCCCUUCUGGUCAUAUCGGAGCAUACAUUAUUUCAGUGAACUAGCUGUCAUCCGUCUAUAAAAACAUGGACCAUACAUCCAGUAGCCAAAAUACCACAUGAAAGAUGCUUUUCCUGCGCGACUUGGGAAAACUUCAUGGACUGCUUCUCAUCUCUAUAUGUGCCAAUGAGCAUAAAGUGGUCGAAGAAUACUAAUGAAGAAUACUAUGGCCAAAGAUCCAAGAUCAAAUUAUUACAUAAGAUACAAAAGCAACAAGUCUUUUCAGAAGGCCAAGAUGCAGGUCUGAAUGGAGGUUUAAAGGCUUACCAAAUUUAAUUACCAAAUUAAACCUGCCUAAUCAGUUCCAGAUAAGACACUGAAGUUAAGAGAGAGGAGUGAGGAGUCAACACUGCAUUCCAGGCUCUCCUCCUUUCAGUCACUUUGGCAAGGUGGCAAGUUUUCGACCUAGUUGUAAAACAGACUGUACCAGCUUUACAGGAACAUGGACACUUGCUAUUCAGCGAUGACUACAAAAUAAUUCUAAUUUCUUCCACAAAUUAUGUUAUGGGUCAUUAGCCUUGCCAACCUAGACAUUCAAAAAAGCCUUUUCCAUGCUGUCCCUCCCCCUGGGUCCUACAGUAGCCUGGCUCUAGAUCACAAG